ACGCCAGUCUGCAUGGAGCCGACCUUGAAAUACCACCCUUUAAUGUUUGAUGUUCUAACGUGGACCCGUAAUCCGGGUUGCGGACAGUGUCUGGUGGGUAGUUUGACUGGGGCGGUCUCCUCCUAAAGAGUAACGGAGGAGCACGAAGGUUGGCUAAUCCUGGUCGGACAUCAGGAGGUUAGUGCAAUGGCAUAAGCCAGCUUGACUGCGAGCGUGACGGCGCGAGCAGGUGCGAAAGCAGGUCAUAGUGAUCCGGUGGUUCUGAAUGGAAGGGCCAUCGCUCAACGGAUAAAAGGUACUCCGGGGAUAACAGGCUGAUACCGCCCAAGAGUUCAUAUCGACGGCGGUGUUUGGCACCUCGAUGUCGGCUCAUCACAUCCUGGGGCUGAAGUAGGUCCCAAGGGUAUGGCUGUUCGCCAUUUAAAGUGGUACGCGAGCUGGGUUUAGAACGUCGUGAGACAGUUCGGUCCCUAUCUGCCGUGGGCGCUGGAGAACUGAGGGGGGCUGCUCCUAGUACGAGAGGACCGGAGUGGACGCAUCACUGGUGUUCGGGUUGUCAUGCCAAUGGCACUGCCCGGUAGCUAAAUGCGGAAGAGAUAAGUGCUGAAAGCAUCUAAGCACGAAACUUGCCCCGAG
rnacentral:rRNA from 1 species